UAUUUCUUUAAACUGGUCCAGAGAGGCUAGAAAGGCAAACAAAUAUGGAAUCUUUUUCAAAUAAGGGAUACCUGUACCUUCUUGCGUCUGUGGCAAGAAGGUUUUUUGUU
rfam:[Clostridium] paradoxum JW-YL-7 = DSM 7308 strain JW-YL-7 ctg1, whole genome shotgun sequence.